rnacentral:misc_RNA from 1 species
AGAUGGCUAAGCAUUCAGAUGCUUUUAUUGCUUUACCAGGUGGUUAUGGGACUCUUGAAGAGUUACUUGAAGUGAUAACCUGGGCUCAACUUGGAAUUCACGACAAACCGGUGGGAUUGUUAAAUGUUGAUGGAUACUACAAUUCUUUGCUCUCAUUUAUUGACAAAGCUGUGGAAGAGGGAUUUAUACACCCCAGUGCUCGCAACAUCUUUGCAUCUGCUCCAACAGCAAAGGAGUUGGUAAUGAAAUUGGAG